UUUGGACUUUAUCUGGAUAUUCUACUGGCUAUUCAGAAGAUGGCCCUGAGAGAGGUGUUGACUCUACUUCUCUUCUGAAGUUGGGUUAUUGCAAAAAGUAUCAUUUCAGGCAAGCUCCGUAAGCCCAUGUCUGAGUCACUGAGAUGUGUUUUGCAAUGGAGGAUUAAGGUUAUAAAUCUCUUCCAUGAAGAUCUUUUGUGCCAUACAGGAACUUACGGGGCAUAAUUUCUGUUGAGGAACUGGAUUGUGA
rnacentral:lncRNA from 1 species